ensembl:lncRNA
GCUAAAUUGAAUGAUUUUACAAGGCUAGAGGAGCCUUCAUACGGUCCAGGAAACAAUGGCGUGAAAAGGGCAUAAAGAACAGCAGAUAACAGUCUUUAGAACUUUGUUUGAGGCUUCUACUGUGAGGUGAAUGAGAGGGGGCUGAAUGAGAGGGGGCUGAAUGAGAGGGGGCUGAAUGAGAGGGGAUUGAGGUGUCUGGCCGAGUGCCACAGGCUGAAUGAGAGGGGGCUGAAUGAGAGGGGAUUGAGGUGUCUGGCCGAGUGCCACAGGCUGAAUGAGAGGGGGCUGAAUGAGAGGGGAUUGAGGUGUCUGGCCGAGUGCCACAGGCUGAAUGAGAGGGGGCUGAAUGAGAGGGGAUUGAGGUGUCUGGCCGAGUGCCACAGGCUCGUGACGUGCAGUCACAACAGAGUUAGCUCUCGUUCCAUUGCUUUUCUACAGACAAUGGAAUUCUCCGGGUUGUAACUUUAUUGAAGAUUUAUGAUAAAAACAUCCUAAAGAUUGAUUCUAUACUUAGUUUGACAAGUUUCUACGACCUGUAAUAUAACUUUUUGAACUUUUCGUCCGACGUUCAGCUGGACCUGCACGCGCGUUUGGAUUUGUUUACCAAACGCCCUAACAAGAAGCUAUUUGGACAUAAAUGAUGAACUUUAUCAAACAAAUCAAACAUUUAUUGUGGAACUGGGAUUCCUGGGAGUGCAUUCUGAUGAAGAUCAUCAAAGGUAAGUGAAUAUUUAUCAUGUUAUUUCUGACUAAUGUUGACUACACAAUAUGGUGGAUAUCUUUUUGGCUGCUUUGUGGUCUGACUGUACUCAGAUUAUUGCAGGGUUUGCUUUUUCCGUAAAGUUUUUUUGAAAUCUGACACAGCGGUUGCAUUAUAGAUUGACACUCCUAAAUAACCACUACAAAAGUAUAGCCUCAAUCUUUGCAGAAAAAGGUUAAAGUGGUGCUUGAAUGAUCUGAUUUAUGAAUGUCAAUCAGGGUUUAUGAAAGGGCGCCAUAUAUCUAAUAAUCUGAGGCUGGUGUUAGACUUGGUUGAGUAUUGUGAUCUAUCGGAUGACUUCCCUGUUAUCUUAUUUUGGGGGAUUUUCAUUAAGCAUUUGAUAUAUACAGUAAGUCACAGUUU